UGUAUCUAUUCGCUCUGCACCUUGUGCUAACGUUUGACUUUUGCCCUCUGGCCCCUCCCCUAACUCCCAGGAUCCUUUGGAGCCGCCCAGAGAACAACAGACGGGCUCGUUUACAGCGGCUUCUAGCCAAAUGGUUCUCAAACUGUGGUUCCCUGACUAAUAGCAUCAACACCACUUAGGAACUUGUUAGAAAUAACUGCACAAGGAAUAUAUGGAACUUACCUACAGCAAAGAGGAACAGAUGUCUUUUUUUCUCCAAAGGUGGGGCAUUACUUCUCAGAAGAGAAUUGCUAUUUCCAUCAGAUUGAGAGACUCUCCUUCAAAGAGGUCGCAGUCAAGAAAGAAGACAAAUCACAACAAUGUAAUGUUCUGGGACAGGUAAAGAACACAGUAUGGGGACAGCAUUGGCUGGGGAUAUGACUCUGCAGAGGAGUCACCUGACCUCAGGUAAGUUCUAAGGCACUACUAGUUAAUAUGCAGGCUGAGAGAACGGAAGGGCAUUCAGGCCACAAGAACAGUGUGUGCGAAGUCACAG